UGCUGCUAAGUGGCCUCUUUUUAAGAUAUAGGAUGCAAUUUAUGAAAUGAUGAGUUAGACCUACAUUGAGCUGUGUCAAUGUAUAGGAACUGUUGCAAAAAGCAAGGCACUGUGUGUACCCUGAAGAGACAAAGCGAUAUCUAACAUCACAUAGGUGGGAUUAAGUGUGACGGAAGAGAAAGUGAUCACAUGCCUAACAAGCUGGAUGGCCAGGCAUGCAUGA
rnacentral:lncRNA from 1 species